GGGAGAGUCUGCGGUCUCUCGCCCGCAGACUCUCCCGCGCGUCUGGGGCCGCCCGUUCUGGGUUUUCAAGUUCAAACUUUUCGGUAAAUUGAGUUGCGAAGCGAAGGCCUUUUCUUUGGCAUGCCGUUCCGUGUGGAGACGUCGAAAUCCUGGUCGGGGCCGGGGGGAGCUCCAGUGCAUUCGAGAGGUGAAUUUUGCUGCGCUCCCCCUCCGUGUCUCCGUUUUCCACGGCGGGUUGCAUGUUUGUGUAUGGAGACAAAAGCGCUUUCUCUCGACUGAGAGGGACUGGGCCGUUCUCUUUCCCCCCAGCCGCCCAGCCGUUUGACGCCCUCGGCGCUCUUUUCCUUUUCCCCUCGCAGGCGCCCGAGCACGCCGCAUAGACCAUCUCGGAGGUUCUCGGCGAGGGUCGGUCUUUUUAUGCGCUUCUGUUGCCCACGUGGUUCUGUUGUCUUUCCGCAGACGGCCGUCGGAAGAUGCAUUGAAGGCCGUUGCCUCUCGUUUGCGCAGUCUGGUUUUUCCUUGCGGCCACGGGCGGCUUUGCGUUCCGGACCCAAGCCUUUCCGGGAAGUCCAAUUGCGCGACGGACGCUCCCGCCCCAGACGGCCAGCCGGGGACGACAGAUCCAGGUCUAUGCAGGUGUCCGCUAGCAACCCGUCCUCGUCAGUCUGCGUCCAGGGGGGAAAGCGCGAGUCUUUUACGAUUCCUGUCAAUUCCAUUUGCCCCGGCUACCGCUCACCGGGGAACCGUGCGGCUGUAUGCGCAUCUCCGACGUGUGCCACGUCCGAACCGUCGAGAGAGAGCGGGCCGAAACAGAGAAUGGAGAGACAGCCGCCUACGGAGAAGAGAGGCCCAGGCAACGAAAGUCGCUGCUCUGUGUUUCGAGGAGCGACCAAGUCCAUGCGUGUGCGUGCCGUGAGUAUCUGCGUGUCGCGGUCUGUCGACGCGUUUGUGGCGUGCGGACGAACGCUGUCGUCCCUGCGUGAAGAGUGGCCUGGUAUUACAAAUAGGCCGAGUGUGUCUAGGCGUGAUUUCGAUCUGUGUCGUGAGUGAAUCAGGAUUUGAGUCGAGGCAGGCGCGGACUUUCGUGUAGCUGCGGCGCACCUUGAGGUCGGGUGUACAGGCACCCCGCGAGGCAGCGGCGAGAAGGGUGGACAGUCUGGUGUUUGCGUUCACUGCGAAAGUUUCGACCGCAGUUCUGCUGUAGCGAGGUUGCAUGUCCCGUGUGUCCAC
rnacentral:lncRNA from 1 species